GACGAACGCUGGCGGCGUGCCUAAUACAUGCAAGUCGAACGAGCGGCGGACGGGUGAGUAAUGUAUGGGGACUGCCCGAUAGAGGGGGAUAACUACUGGAAACGGUGGCUAAUACCGCAUACUAUCGGAUAACCCAUAUGGGAUUAGCUAGGAGGUGGGGUAAAGGCUCACCUGGGCGACGAUCUCUAGCUGGUCUGAGAGGAGUAUGAGCCACCCUGGGACUGAGACACGUCCCAGACUCCUACGGAGGCAGCGGUGGGGAAUAUUGCACAAUGGGCGCAAGCCUGAUGCAGCCAUGCCGCGUGUAUGAAGAAGGCCUUAGGGUUGUAAAGUACUUUCAGCGGGGAGGCGUUACCCGCAGAAGAAGCACCGGCUAACUCCGUGCCAGCAGCCGCGGUAAUUC
rnacentral:rRNA from 1 species